AUCCCAUGAUGAGGACAUGCGGCGACAUAUUCCUACAGCCUUUCCCAUGCUUCAGGAAUGGUCCUAUCGGGAAGAACUUGGAGAGUAACGCAUUUGAGCAU
rfam:Oryza nivara chromosome 9, whole genome shotgun sequence.